rnacentral:rRNA from 1 species
UCCUAGCGGCGGACGGGUGAGUAACACGUCGAGGAACCUGCCUUACGACAGGGGAAUAACACCGUGAAAACGGUGCUAAUACCGCAUAACGACCGCACUAUGGCAGUCAUAGGAACGGUCAAAAGGAGAAAUCCGGUGUAAGAUGGCCUCGCGCCCGAUUAGUUAGUUGGUGGGGUAAUGGCCUACCAAGACUGCGAUCGGUAGCCGGACUGAGAGGUCGAACGGCCACAUUGGAACUGAGAGACGGUCCAGACUCCUACGGGAGGCAGCAGUGGGGAAUAUUGGGCAAUGGGGGGAAAAACCCCCUGACCCAGCAACGCCGCGUGAAGGAAGAAGGCCUUCGGGUUGGUAAACUUCUUUGAUCAGGGAAGAAACAAAUGACGGUACCUGAAAAACAAGCCACGGCUAACUACGUGCCAGCCGCAGC